GAUGAACGCUGGCGGCGUGCCUAAUACAUGCAAGUCGAGCGAACGGACGAGAAGCUUGCUUCUCUGAUGUUAGCGGCGGACGGGUGAGUAACACGUGGAUAACCUACCUAUAAGACUGGGAUAACUUCGGGAAACCGGAGCUAAUACCGGAUGAUAUUUUGAACCGCAUGGUUCAAAAGUGAAAGACGGUCUUGCUGUCACUUAUAGAUGGAUCCGCGCUGCAUUAGCUAGUUGGUAAGGUAACGGCUUACCAAGGCAACGAUGCAUAGCCGACCUGAGAGGGUGAUCGGCCACACUGGAACUGGGACACGGUUCAGACUCCUACGGGAGGCAGCAGUAGGGAAUCUUCCGCAAUGGGCGAAAGCCUGACGGAGCAACGCCGCGUGAGUGAUGAAGGUCUUCGGAUCGUAAAACUCUGUUAUUAGGGAAGAACAUAUGUGUAAGUAACUGUGCACAUCUUGACGGUACCUAAUCAGAAAGCCACGGCUAACUACGUG
rnacentral:rRNA from 1 species